AUGGAUGGGACAGAAGCUCCCCCUCCCCACAGCAGGGAAACAAGAUGAGAUGAGAAGCUGCUGUGUCUGGAGUUAGGCGAUUGCUAGGCAGUAGAAGAGACCUGUGUGGGAGCUGUGUGUCCUGGGAGUAGGGAAGGCAGGAACUCCCAUGAGAAAUAGCUUGGGAGUCAGAUGCUGUCAGCACAGAGGCAUGAAACCAUCCAUUGUGGGAUCCGGUGAACUCAAAUGACCAACCCAAUAGACUGUCCACGUCUACAACUGUACAGGUUCUAAAAGACAUUGGCCAGGGUCAAUGAAAUCUGGGCCAGCAAUGGCUCCAUCUCCACAUGGGAUCCACCCUAAAGC
rnacentral:lncRNA from 1 species